GGAGGGUUAAGUUAAUGAAAACUAAUUGCCUUCAAAGCUAUUAAUGCUGGUUCAAGUCCAACACCCUCUG